CCCUUAGAUGUCCUGGGCUGCACGCGCGCUACACUGGAAGUUACGGAUUGAGAUACUACCUUGUCCGGAAUGGUCCGGGUAAUCACCUAAAAGCUUGUCAUAAUUGGAAUGGAUUAUUGUAACUAGUAAUCCUGAACGAGGAAUUCCUAGUAAGUCCCAGUCAACAGCUGGUACUGAUUACGUCCCUGCCCUUUGUACACACCGCCCGUCGCUACUACUGAUUGGACGUUUAAGCAAGAUUUUUAAACACUGACAGUGUGUAGUUCACGCUAUACUACAGUGAGAAGAAGAAGAUCGAGCUUACUUGUCUAGAGGAAGUAAAAGUCGUAACA
rnacentral:rRNA from 1 species